UGGGCGUAAAGGNUGCGUAGGCGGAUAUUUAAGUGAGAUGUGAAAUACCCGGGCUUAACUUGGGUGCUGCAUUUCAAACUGGAUAUCUAGAGUGCGGGAGAGGAGAAUGGAAUUCCUAGUGUAGCGGUGAAAUGCGUAGAGAUUAGGAAGAACACCAGUGGCGAAGGCGAUUCUCUGGACCGUAACUGACGCUGAGGCAUGAAAGCGUGGGUAGCAAACAGGAUUAGAUACCCUGGUAGUCCACGCCGUAAACGAUGAGUACUAGGUGUAGGAGGUAUCGACCCCUUCUGUGCCGCAGUUAACACAAUAAGUACUCCGCCUGGGAAGUACGAUCGCAAGAUUAAAACUCAAAGGAAUUGACGGGGGCCCGCACAAGCAGCGGAGCAUGUGGUUUAAUUCGAAGCAACGCGAAGAACCUUACCUGGACUUGACAUCCCCUGAAUAGCCUAGAGAUAGGUGAAGCCCUUCGGGGCAGGGAGACAGGUGGUGCAUGGUUGUCGUCAGCUCGUGUCGUGAGAUGUUAGGUUAAGUCCUGCAACGAGCGCAACCCCUAUCAUUAGUUGCUACCAUUAAGUUGAGCACUCUAGUGAGACUGCCCGGGUUAACCGGGAGGAAGGUGGGGAUGACGUCAAAUCAUCAUGCCCCUUAUGUCCAGGGCUACACACGUGCUACAAUGGUGGGUACAAAGAGAUGCAAGACCGCGAGGUGGAGCAAAACUCAAAAACCCAUCCCAGUUCGGAUUGUAGGCCGCAACUCGCCUACAUGAAGCCGGAGUUGCUAGUAAUCGCGAAUCAGAAUGUCGCGGUGAAUACGUUCCCGGGCCUUGUACACACCGCCCGUCACACCAUGAGAGCUGGCAACACCCGAAGUCCGUGAGGUAACCUGUAAAGGAGCCAGCGGCCGAAGUGGGGUUAGUGAUUGG
rnacentral:rRNA from 1 species